CUAUACCAGGACAAGGAAGAAGGGACACGUUUGCUCUGUGCCUGCUUGCUCUCACCUUGCUAGCAAGUCCAUUGCUUCACUUAAGCUUCUCUUGAGAAAGACCCCCAUAGACUCAUAGAUUUGAAUACAUGGUCACCAGGGAGUGGCACUAUUUGAAAGGAUUGGGAGGUGUGGCCUUGUUGGAGGAAAAUGUUACUGGAGGUGGGCUUUGAGGUUUCAAAAAAGCCCAUUCCAAAUCGAGAGUCUUCCUCUUCCUGCUGCCUGCAGAUCUGGAUGUAGCUACUUCUCCAGCAUCAUGUCUGCCUGUAUGCCACCAUGCUCCCUACCAUGAUGAUAAUGGACGACACUUCUGAAACUGUUCCAGGAUUAUAGGCAUGCACUACCACACCAGCUGGAAAAUUCCUUUGAAAAGAAAUAUGGGUGCCGGAGAGAUGGGUCAGUGUUAGGAACAUUUGCUGUUGCUCCAGAGGACCUGAGUUCAAUUUUAAGGAUUCCCAGUGGAGAUAAGUGUAGACUCACCUCUCAUCAAAGAAGCCUCUUUACAGAAAGUGGAGACCAUCCCAGAAAGCCACGACUGGACACAGUGCAGAGAGCAAUGGACCACAAGGAGCUCAGCCCCAUUAGAUAUACCUACAUUACAUCUCUGGCAUCUACGUUUCAUGGGGACCAUCAUAAAAAUGGGGCUAAGGAGGGAAUCGGGCAUGGGUUGGGGAGGGAGGCUGGAGGGGCGGGAGGAGGAAAGAGAGGGGAAUCUGUGGUUGGUAUGUAAAAUGAAUAAAAAGUUUCUUAAUAAAAAAAGGGGGAAGGCUGGAAGAUUGUAAAGGCCAGAAUAUCAGGAAGUCUGCUGUGAAACAGUCUUUCAUAGACAUGGCUGCAUAAACAAAAUCUGAACAAUGGCAAUGUCUAUAGACACGUUAGUGCAAAGGGGAAGAAGUCAUAUGGGGUCACACCCCUGGAAAAGGAACUACAGGCCACUGAUGAUUGCUGAGAGAUGGAGAGUUUGCCUUGCCCAGAGACGGAGCACCUAAUACGUUGUCCAAAACAAAGUGGUUCGCACUGAAACCCUAUACAUACAAAAGCAGCUUAUAUUUAUAUACUUGUGCAUACAUAUAUAUGCAUACAUACAUAAAUACAUCCACCCAUCCAUUCAUAUGUACACACAUAUAUGUGACAAUAAUUAUCAAUGAAGAUGAGGAGAUCAAUUUGAAAGUUGGGGGACAGACAUGGAAGGAGUUGGUAAGAGGAGACUUGGAGGGGCUGGAGGGAGAAAAGGGGAAAGUGAUGUGAUUACAUUUUAUUUUAAAAUGUAUAAUAAAAUGUACAAAAAUUUAUAAACAUAAAAAGUUAUAAUGCAACCAAAAUAAUUAGCAAACAUACAGCUGUUGGGAAAGAAAUGUCUUAAUGAUUAAUUCAGUGAUUCUCAAUCUGUGGGUCAUGACCCCCUGCAGGGUUCACAUAUCAGAUAUUGUGCAUGUCAGAUAUUUACAUUAUGAUGCAUAACAGUAGCAAAAUUACAGUUAUGAAGUAGCAAUGAAAUAAUUUUAUGGUUGGGGGUCACUACAGCAUGAGGUGCAACAUUAGGAAAGUUGAGAAGCACAGGAUUAAUAGACUAUUUUGCUUAACUUACAGUCAGUAAAUAUUAUAAUAUGCACACACACAUAUGUGCAAUAUAUAUAUU